rnacentral:rRNA from 1 species
UACGGGGGGGGCAAGCGUUGUUCGGAAUUACUGGGCGUAAAGGGCUUGUAGGCGGCCAACUAAGUCCGACGUGAAAUCCCCAGGCUUAACCUGGGAACUGCGUCGGAUACUGGAUGGCUUGAAUUCGGGAGAGGGAUGCAGAAUUCCAGGUGUAGCGGUGAAAUGCGUAGAUAUCUGGAGGAAUACCGGUGGCGAAGGCGGCAUCCUGGACCGACAUUGACGCUGAGGAGCGAAAGCUAGGGGAGCAAACAGG